GGUAGAGGGGGCAGGGGUUGGUGCCCCCCACCCUCUCACCGGGGCUGGGGCCUGGGUUUGGGGCGGCCUUGGCUCUGCCAAAUGGGGUCUCUGAACACCUGGGUUUCCCCUUCCACAGGACACCUGGGUUCUUCCCCUGCUGUUAGGUAGUAAAAUGGGAUCCCGGACUAGUAUUAAAGCAUUGACAUGACACCUCAUUGGAUAAGUGACAGAAAGGCUUUAUGCACUUCAAGUAUCCUAGGUUAAAUGAGUCCAAACGGAAGCGAAGUCCAGUAUUUAUCUGCAAGGUGAUCGUUUCUCACCAAACAGGCAACAGGGAGAGGCCAUCGGAUUCUUCUCAGCUUCUCAAGAGCUGGCGCAGCGGGAGUUCGUGUCCGAGAUUUCUCACUCCUGUUAGCUGUUUCCUUCCUCUUACCCUUUAGCAUCUUCAAAGUGUUCCUGCAGUUAUGUAAAUAGAGAGAGAGGUUCACCCAGUAACUGCCUGGAAAACCCCCUUAAUCAAACUGCUCGUUAAUGGUUAUCAGAAAGUUUCAAUUUGAGUGAAUUAGUACUAAGUUUGGAACCUAUCAAGGAACUGAUUAAUGGGAAUCCUGGUUUUCUUUGAUUGGGGGAUGUAGCAGGGCACUAAGGUGCCUGCUCCUCUUAGAGCAGAGAUAAGAACCCAGGUGCAAGUUGCCAGGACAACCGGUUAAGGAGGGAAUUGGCCGCACCUGCACCUGGUCAGCUGGCAGGAGGAGGCAGGGCCCUAGGCCCCAUAUAAACCCCAGGGCUGGGACCAGGUAGUUAGUCCCUUACCAGCAGCCAAAGGGGAAGGAGCCUCCAUGAGAAGGAAGGGCCCAGAGAUGUGGUAGCUGGCAGGACCAGAUGCAUCCCCCAAGAGCACCCUCCCCUGGAUCCAGUUCUCCAAGGACUCCCCUCCCGGCUUCUCCUUCUGGACCUGGCUGGAGGGGAUCUUGGAGCUGAUCCAUAAGCACCUCGCCUCGCUGUGGAAGGAUGGGCUGAUCUUGGGCUUUGUGAGCAAGAAGCGGGAGCGGCAGCUGCUGCGGCGGCGGCAGACUGGGACCUUC